AACAUGUCAGCGAUCCAAUAAGCACACUGCCCCGAGCUGGUGGUAAAGGCAAAGCUCGGCGAAAACACGGACGCACGACUGCCCGAGAAAAUACUGGAGUGCACGUGCACAAACCGUGCAGCUUUGAUUGAUGCUCAGGUGCUGUGGUCACCUGCACACCUGUGGAGACAUUAAUUACAUGUUGACAUUACAGUUCGAUGCACAAAUACACCAAAAAAAGCAUCACAAUAAAGAGAAACUGUAGACGAGUUUUUAUUAUGUGACAUUUUUCAUUACAAAACAUCACAAAAACCCUUUUCUUCUUCCUCCUCUCCUUGUUUUGAAGGCACAGUGAGGAAGAGGAGAACAAAGCAGCUAUUACUGCAAAUUGUUGCUGUCAGGCAGUAAUUUCGUGGCCUGAAUGCAAAUUGACUAAAACACCUUUUUUAAUUUGUCAGGAAGAAGUUUUACAGCAGUUCGUACGGCUUCAUCAUAAAAGGUGCAGAAGAAAAAAGUGACUCUGCUGCUUAAAGCCCCUCUGGCACCUUCAUGCCUACAAGUAUUCAGUAAUAUCUCUGCCAUAGAUGUAUGAAUUAUUGAACAGCAGGAGGGUUUUCAGCUGCGGGGUUUGUGUAAUCCCUCUUUGAUGCUAUCUGUAAAAGUAAUGACUGGAUAUUGGGCUGUGUGGGAAUGCUUUUGUACGGUGAAGACCUCCACAGGUACAGGCACUCUUUUAGAGGACGAAGACGUCCUUAACGCUGACCCGGCUCGGUUCUGAGGGAGAUGAUGAAGAGGUUAGGGAGCAGGUUCUGGUGAUAACGGAGCAAACGGGUCUAAAACAGUGAAGAGGAGGUCUGAAAACUGCUCAGUUCUGGUUUCAUAUGAAUGAAAUCCACCAGAACCUUUAGUUUUACUAGUUUCUAUCUUUAGUGAAAUUAAAUCGAGAGUCGCUCAGACUUUUGCUCCUCAUUUUUCAGAAGGUUCUCCUGAGCUUUGGUUGGUUCUGGUCCAGACAGUAACUUCAUGGAUGAGACACUAAGAAGAGAACUCGGUCCAAAAGUCUGCCGCCUCCAUCGAAGGUCCAGGUCAGAGAGGAUGGUUUUGAAAGCGCCACCAUCUCUUCAGUAUCAUCAGAACUUCCGCCUGUUAUUAUAGGGAUGUCAUGCUAUUUCUGCAUAACCCUCAGACAGACGCGUGUUGUAACGUCCCGUACACAGAACCAUCUGAGAACCGCAAACACGUCCUGAUCUGAAGGAAGACAAACAUCCCGACUUCUUUAAAGGUCGGAUUAACAUGACGCUCAGACGGAUGUGUAAAGGAACAGAAAACAAAACACCUGGAGCAAGAUCUGCAGGAUUUGUACCGCUUUGACUUUGCAGUCUGAGGCUUCAGAAGCUCCAACCAACCAAUGAAUCCUGUUUCUGGACUGUGGGAGGAAACCAGAGAGGAUCCACACAUGAUCCAUGAGAGACCUGCACACAGGAGGAACACAGCUGGGAUUUGAACCAGGACCCUCUCACUGUCAGGAAUCUGUUUCUGCGUCGCUCUCCUGCAGAUUUAAGGCAGACCAGGUGGUUUGUUUGUCAUGGAGGAACGUGGACAUCUCCUUUCAGGAGGAGCUCCUGUUCUUCAAACAUGGAUCCAGAUCCGUCUGACGGAACCGAGCGGACCUGCGGAACAUGAACCGGAUCGGCCCGUUCAUCUGCAGAACCAGUCACACCAACACAAACGACAACAACACGAUCCAGAUUUCCUGGGCUGACAAACAGGUUCCUGCUAAUAAUUUAGCACUUUUCUCUAGCACUGUUAUCUCAAGUAACCAUGACGACCACACAGAGGAGCUGCUGAUGGCGUUCUCCACACGCAGACGAUCGAAUGACAGACGUGUGUCUGCGUGGACUGUAAAUACGACUCCAUCUGCAGGUGUACGGACAGCAGAGCAGACGCUGCACCCCUGGACCGUGGAGUUUUCCAUCCAUGAGUCUUCUGAAUGAGCCGUUCAGUUUCUGUCAGGAUUCAAACACGACUCCAAACGUUCACCGAUCUGUUCACGCUGUUUUCUGAUGUCCACCAGCAGCACGCCGCUCGCCUCUUUGACCCGAAAGUUUGGGCUUUUUUAUCGCUGUGAUGCCAUCUCAAGCACAGAACCCCCCCCCCUGCAGUGAAUGACAGGUAGGGCGACUAUAGUGCUGUGGUGGAGCGGUCAACCUCUGAAUAGAAGGUCUGAGGUUCAAUUCCUGCCUUGGCUGUUCAUCCGGCUGCUAAUGUGGUCACAGUUUUCCAUCCGUGAGUGAACGUGCAUGUUUGGGCUUUAAUCUAUGUCUUAAUCCAGACAUCUUAAUCUAAGUAUAAUCUAAGUAGACGUCAUGCCACAGCUCUGUUCCUUACGCUAGAGAUGGUUGUGUUGGUGUUUACAUUGUAAAUGACAUUUCCUGUCUGUUAAUUAAAAAGGUAAAAACAGAAUUAAAGAGGAAUCCAAAUUCGAUGACAGAUUUGUUGAAUCUAACAGCAGCCUGAACAUCAGCUGGAAAUCAACAAUACGAUCCUUAAAAUGCACAAAAAAUACCAAA